rnacentral:rRNA from 1 species
GAUGAACGCUAGCUACAGGCUUAACACAUGCAAGUCGAGGGGAAACGACAUCGAAAGCUUGCUUUUGGUGGGCGUCGACCGGCGCACGGGUGAGUAACGCGUAUCCAACCUGCCCACCACUUGGGGAUAACCUUGCGAAAGUAAGACUAAUACCCAAUGAUAUCCCACGAAGGCAUCCGAAUGGGAUUAAAGAUUUAUCGGUGAUGGAUGGGGAUGCGUCUGAUUAGCUUGUUGGCGGGGUAACGGCCCACCAAGGCAACGAUCAGUAGGGGUUCUGAGAGGAAGGUCCCCCACAUUGGAACUGAGACACGGUCCAAACUCCUACGGGAGGCAGCAGUGAGGAAUAUUGGUCAAUGGGCGAGAGCCUGAACCAGCCAAGUAGCGUGCAGGAUGACGGCCCUAUGGGUUGUAAACUGCUUUUAUAAGGGAAUAAAGUGGGUCACGUGUGACUUUUUGCAUGUACCUUAUGAAUAAGGACCGGCUAAUUCCGUG